rnacentral:lncRNA from 1 species
CCAAACCAAGAGCAAAGGAAGAACUAAGGGAGAAAAGAAAACAAGAGCCCUAGGUGGGAAAAUUCAAGGGAAAAUUGGUGGAUUUCAAGUAAUCAAGCAAUCAAAGGUAAAAUUUCUUGAUUUUGACUUGUGAUCUACCUUUCCCAUGCAUUUCUCCUUAUUUUCCAUGGUUAAAUUUCAUGUUUUCAUGGUGAAUUCAUGGCUGGUCAAAAUGGGUAUGGAGAGAGAAUGAUGUUGGAUUGAUUUGAUUCUAAGUUAUGUUAGUGUUUUUAGUUAGUUUAUCAUGUCUAAAAACAAAACAACAAGAAAAGAAUUCAUUUUCCCCAUCACCCAUCAAUGGCCGAAUUUUCUAGGGAGGAUAUUGUGGCUAAAAUUAAUGAUAUUUCAUGUUUGGUGACGCUAGAAAUUAAAUGGAAAAUUUUGGUGUGAAAAUUUGAAUUUUUGCUCAAUGUAUAGACAUGUGUGAUUAUUGACCUGGGACUAAUAAAUUGAAUCUCAUUCACAGUCACUGAGGUAAUUUAGGUAUAAUUGGAGUGUAGAAAGUGAGAAGAAUUGAUUUGGAGCUAAAUUGAAGAUUUUAACCGAUUAGACCGAGUAUAGUGUGACUUAGAUCGAAUAUCACAUUUAAGCAAUUAAUCGGACAUUUUGCAUUCCAUAUCAUGCAUUAGUAGUCCAAAUUAGUUUAAUUUCAAUUUAGUACCAGUAUAGUAUGUUUCUUGAUUUGUACUAUGUCAAGGUGGUGAGUCCUCCGACAAGGGCAAGGAAAUUGUACCCGAGGAUCGAUAAUUGGAGUACUUUAAAAAUUCGACUUCCGAAAUAGUGAGUAACCUUAUCAUCAUUUUAAUUAUCUAAAGUAUGUUUUAUCCGAUUUUGUGAACUUUAUAGAAAAUGAUUUUAAAUGGUUAACUUUUGGGUUUUGUAAACAAAAUGUGUUUUAAUAAAAUGAUUUUAUAAAUCGUCUUGAAAUUGAAUGAUGACUUUGAAAAUAGAGUAACUGGAGACCACUUGCGGUGUUAUAAGUUUACGAUUUAAAUUGACGACUUAUCAUAAUGUGUUGGCAUGACUGGCUUGGUUGUGUUUUUAUGAACUGUAUGCAUUGUUCUAUUUUACACUUGCAGGCUGGAUAGUAUUAUAUUAGCCCUAUCAUGCUAUCAAAAUUUUAUUGUAUGGUGGGUUUAACUUGCUGCAGUGGGCGGAUUUCUGUGGAACAGCCUAUUAGGGGGGCACAGUAAACCCCUUUAUAUUUUACCUCGGUUAGAAAGGCAAGUAGGGUAACUCCCGAGGUAUAACUUUUAGAGUUCACUUCACGCCAAACCACCACGUAAGGGGGAACUCAGCCAACGCCAAGGAACGGCUAUGUUUUCAAAAUAAAAACAUGACUUUCUAAUAGUCUUGGCGGACUCAGUUGGGAUAGCCCUCGGCCAAGGUAUCCUAGAUAACUGAGUAUGAUAAUAAUUUUUGGCAUGAGCCAAGCUUUUUAAGAAAUUCAUAAGCCAUACUGAUUACUUGAUUUAAAUAAAUUGAUUUCAUUUGUUUGAAAUAAGUUGAAAG